UACGUAGGGUGCGAGCGUUGUCCGGAAUUAUUGGGCGUAAAGAGCUCGUAGGCGGUCUGUCGCGUCUGCUGUGAAAACCCGAGGCUCAACCUCGGGCCUGCAGUGGGUACGGGCAGGCUAGAGUGCGGGAGGGGAGAAUGGAACUCCUGGUGUAGCGGUGGAAUGCGCAGAUAUCAGGAGGAACACCGGUGGCGAAGGCGGUUCUCUGGGCAUUACCUGACGCUGAGGAGCGAAAGUGUGGGGAGCAAACAGG
rnacentral:rRNA from 1 species